GACGAACGCUGGCGGCGUGCUUAACACAUGCAAGUCGAACGGAAAGGCCCUGCUUUUGUGGGGUGCUCGAGUGGCGAACGGGUGAGUAACACGUGAGUAACCUGCCCUUGACUUUGGGAUAACUUCAGGAAACUGGGGCUAAUACCGGAUAGGAGCUCCUGCUGCAUGGUGGGGGUUGGAAAGUUUCGGCGGUUGGGGAUGGACUCGCGGCUUAUCAGCUUGUUGGUGGGGUAGUGGCUUACCAAGGCUUUGACGGGUAGCCGGCCUGAGAGGGUGACCGGCCACAUUGGGCCUGAGAUACGGCCCAGACUCCUACGGGGGGCAGCAGUGGGGAAUAUUGCACAAUGGGCGGAAGCCUGAUGAAGAAACGCCGCGUGCGGGAUGACGGCCUUCGGGUUGUAAACCGCUUUCGCCUGUGACGAAGCGUGAGUGACGGUAAUGGGUAAAGAAGCACCGGCUAACUACGUG
rnacentral:rRNA from 1 species